rnacentral:lncRNA from 1 species
AAUAUUUUAUGAUGUAUUUAAAUGAGUAGUUAUUGUUGCAAACUCCAUUAGAAAUUUGAAUUGAGAUCAGUUUUGGAAAAAGGGAAAGGGGGAUGUGAAAAAAAAAAUGGGGGGGGGGGUUAAAUUCUUUUCAUUUCAGAUUUCAUAAAUAAAAAGAAAAUUUCUUCAAACAUUAUUCUGAGAGGAUUAAUAUUCAACAGCAUAGUGAAUUGCUCAAAGGCAAACAAAAUAUUUUAAGUUCAUUAGACCACAUUCAUUCUGUGUCAGAAACCUAUGCUGUGUCAACUAUUUAAUCACAAUCCAAAUUUAGAGCUGAAUCCAGCUUGAAUGUUGUGUCCAUACUUGCCCCAACCGUUCAGGGUUCAACCUCUGCGGUCGUAUAAAGCUGCGCCCUGC